GGAGAGGUGUCCGAGUGGUUGAUGGUGCCGCUCUCGAAAAGCGGUCUGCGAAAGCAGCGAGGGUUCGAAUCCCUCCCUCUCCG
rnacentral:tRNA from 2 species